rnacentral:rRNA from 1 species
GGAUCCAGACUUUGAUUCUGGCUCAGGAUGAACGCUAGCGGCAGGCUUAACACAUGCAAGUCGAGGGGCAGCGCGGGAUAGCAAUAUCCUGGCGGCGACCGGCGGAAGGGUGCGUAACGCGUGAGCGACAUGCCCGUUGCCCGGGGACAGCCGGUGGAAACGCCGACUAAUCACCGAUGGGAUACGAUGCUGCAUGGCAUUGUAUUGAAAGUUACGGCGGCGACGGAUUGGCUCGCGUCCGAUUAGCUGGUUGGCGGGGUAACGGCCCACCAAGGCUACGAUCGGUAGGGGUUCUGAGAGGAAGGCCCCCCACAAUGGGACUGAGACACGGCCCAUACCCCUACGGGAGGCAGCAGUGAGGAAUAUUGGUCAAUGGGCGGAAGCCUGAACCAGCCAUGCCGCGUGCGGGAAGGAGGCCCUAUGGGCUGUGAACCGCUUUUGCCUGGGGGCAAUAAGGGCGUCGCGCACGUCCGAUGAGAGUACCAGGCGAAUAAGCAUCGGCUAACUCCGUGCCAGCAGCCGCGGUAAUACGGGGGAUGCGAGCGUUAUCCGGAUUCAUUGGGUUUAAAGGGUGCGUAGGCUGUGCGUCAAGUCGGGGGUGAAAUUCCGGUGCUCAACACCGAGGCUGCCCUUGAUACUGUCGCGCUGGAGUGCGGAUGCCGCCGGAGGAAUGAGUGGUGUAGCGGUGAAAUGCUUAGAUAUCACUCAGAACACCGAUUGCGAAGGCAUCUGGCGAAUCCGUAACUGACGCUGAGGCACGAAAGCGUGGGGAUAGAACAGGAUUAGAUACCCUGGUAUUCCACGCCGUAAACGAUGAUGGCUAACCGCCGGCGACACACUGUCGGUGGCCAAGCGAAAGCGAUAAGCCAUCCACCUGGGGAGUACGUCGGCAACGAUGCAACUCAAAUGAAUUGACGG